rnacentral:tRNA from 1 species
GGGUCAUUAGAGGCUGCUGGUGUGAAAGGUGGCUGGGUAGAAACCCUUCCUAGAGAGACCUAGGCCAAUUGUCUUUUAACCAAUUGGUCGUAGGUUCGAAUCCUACACGACCCACCA